rnacentral:rRNA from 1 species
GACAGAGGGUGCAAACGUUGUUCGGAAUUACUGGGCGUAAAGCGCGUGUAGGCGGCUAUGCAAGUCGGGCGUGAAAUCCCACGGCUCAACCGUGGAAGUGCACUGAAACUGCGUAGCUAGAGUCCCGGAGAGGAAGGUGGAAUACUUGGUGUAGAGGUGAAAUUCGUAGAUAUCAAGUGGAACACCGGUGGCGAAGGCGGCCUUCUGGACGGUGACUGACGCUGAGACGCGAAAGCGUGGGGAGCAAACAGG